rnacentral:rRNA from 1 species
AUUGAACGCUGGCGGCAUGCCUUACACAUGCAAGUCGAACGGUAACAGGUCUUCGGAUGCUGACGAGUGGCGAACGGGUGAGUAAUACAUCGGAACGUGCCUAGUAGUGGGGGAUAGCUACUCGAAAGAGUGGCUAAUACCGCAUGAGAUCUACGGAUGAAAGCAGGGGAUCGCAAGACCUUGUGCUACUAGAGCGGCCGAUGGCAGAUUAGGUAGUAGGUGGGAUAAAAGCUUACCAAGCCGACGAUCUGUAGCUGGUCUGAGAGGACGAUCAGCCACACUGGGACUGAGACACGGCCCAGACUCCUACGGGAGGCAGCAGUGGGGAAUUUUGGACAAUGGGCGCAAGCCUGAUCCAGCAAUGCCGCGUGCAGGAUGAAGGCCUUCGGGUUGUAAACUGCUUUUGUACGGAACGAAAAGCCCUGGGUUAAUACCCUGGGGUCAUGACGGUACCGUAAGAAUAAGCACCGGCUAACUACGUGCCAGCCGCCGCAGUAAGAC